UUGAAAGAUAGGUAACCAGUCGUCUGUAAGGAUCAAUAUAGUUGGGGUGCAGAUACAGGCCUUCCCCUAGGGAAACACUUGCAUCAGUAUUAGUGAGAGACCAAGUACACAUCUGAAGCAUUCCUGUGCUUUCUGUCCACUUGUCAGGUGAUGUUGCCACGUAUGACUGUCCAUCAGCCAGGAGAUGAACCCCCACCCGUGAGGCAGUGACUCAAGGUGCAAGGGAGUCCGGCAAGAAGUGUGGCGCACCCGAGUUGCUGCCACUGCUUUUUGGAUCACCCAGCACGGUCUUCUGAAGUCUUCCUGAAAGCAUCCCUGGUGAUCUGUGAGCCCUUGGUCGUGUUGCCCGCCUUCUUCCUGUGGGUCUUGCUGGAUGCUCAUUGUCCCUGUGAGCCGAGGCCCUGGAGGCUUCAGAUUUAGGU
ensembl:lncRNA